CAUGAAGCUGGAUUCGCUAGUAAUCGCGCAUCAGCCACGGCGCGGUGAAUACGUUCCCGGGCCUUGUACACACCGCCCGUCACACCAUGAGAGUUGGAGAUACCCGAAGCCUGUGAGCUAACAGAAAUGGAGCAGCAGUCGAAGGUAGAAUCAAUGAUUGGGGUGAAGUCGUAACAAGGUAAC
rnacentral:rRNA from 1 species